rnacentral:rRNA from 1 species
UCUACGGGAGGCAGCAGUGGAGAAUAUUGCACAAUGGGCGCAAGCCUGAUGCAGCCAUGCCGCGUGUAUGAAGAAGGCCUUCGGGUUGUAAAGUACUUUCAGCGGGGAGGAAGGUGUUGAGGUUAAUAACCUCAGCAAUUGACGUUACCCGCAGAAGAAGCACCGGCUAACUCCGUGCCAGCAGCCGCGGUAAUA